UAUUGAUUCUCAUUCGCACUCUUACUUCUCUUUAUUAUAUGAAGUUUACCUCCGAGUGGUGAGUGGAUUUAUCACGAGUGGACAAAACUGAAGACAUCAAAACUAUGAAAAUAACAUCUGGAACACAUCUGGAAUUAUGAGGAGACUGGUGUGGAGCUCAAGGAUGAAGCUGCUUCUCCCAGGCUUCAGUCAGACUCGGGCUUCAGGCUGGUGUGUGAUUCAUUACAGGAAGUGGAGGAAAGCUGGAGAAGAUUUAAAUCAUGUUACAGGAUCGAAUGGAUAUUAAAUGGCUGCCUGAAGCAGAUGUGUAUGUGAGCACAGUACAUUCAUAGUGUUCCUUUGUAUCCAAUGAAAAUAUAUUUAGUCAGAAUUAUUGGCACCCCAUGAAAAAUUAGUAAAAAUAAAUAUC